CGGGCUGUGGCGCAGCUUGGUAGCGCAUCCGCUUUGGGAGCGGAGGGUCGCAGGUUCAAAUCCUGUCAGCCCGAC
rnacentral:tRNA from 2 species